GUGGAAUCUGCCAUGAGUGGCAGCAUGGAGAUUACCAGGUCCCACAGUCAGGCCCAGAGGUGUCCCUGAUGCAGGGGGUGGUAAGAAGAGAUGCCCCCCACCCCCCCGUGCUCCACCCAGCACACUUGAAGUCUGUGUCUAGACUGAGCACCUGCCCUCCCCGUUUCGCUAGUGCUCUAGUUAGAGCAGUUAGCUCAGCCUUCUGAGCUGAGGUCCCCAGGGGCAAGGUUGAGCUGCUGUUUUUCUAGGUGAAAUACUGCAGACCCAGCCUUCCUCUGACCCUUGGAGACACAAGUACUCUGUCGUGAACCGUUCCUUCUCCAUGUUAGGCAGGGUUGUGCAGAUAGGUCUGGGCAACCGACAGGCCUGGAAGGUCACUUCCUCACGUGAGUGUUCAGCUGGAGGGCAGAGGGCAUCGGGGAGGCUCACUGAGAGUAUCAUGUCUGAUACCAAAUUCAGGGUUAUCCAAGAGAACUGCUUGGUACUUUGUGAGUCUCAUCAUCCGUACAUGCCCUUUCAUUUCCAAGGUGGCUUUGACCUGGUGUGGGGUGAGGACCUCAAGAGGUUGUCCUAAAGUAAUCUUAGUGGCCUCUGUUACCAGGAGGGCUGUAGCACAACCACUCGCAUACGUUCUGGCCACCCUGUAGUUCCUCCAGGUCUUGGGUUAGGACCCCUGUGGCUGUUCCCCUUCUUCUGCCACGUAAGGGGUGAAUGGUGUGGUGAGGUCAGGUGCUCCUGAGCUGGGGCCUGGCUGAGGGCCUGCUUUAGUGCCCCAAAGCCCCCUCUUUCUCUUCACUCUGGAGGCUCCGAGGCUAGCCUUCUAUGCUUUCAUAGAGGGGUUGUACAGUAAGGCCAAAGCUGGGAUCCAGAUUCUACAGAAACCUGCUGUUUCAGCUUUUUGUGCCACUGUGACUAAAAGACCUGACCAGCACAGUUGUAGAAGAGGAAAAGUUUAUUUGGGGGCUCAUGUUUUCAGAGGUCUCCGUCCAUAGAAGGCCGGCUCCAUUCCUUGGGGCUCAAGGUGAGGCAGGGCGACAUGGCAGGAGAGUGUGGUGGAGAGAGGCAGCCCACGUGAUGAUCAGGAGGCAGAAAGAUCCACUUGACACCAAUACCUACCCCAGCCAGGCCUCCUAUGACCAGCCACACCCACCCACUUCAGCUUCCACUGUUAAUUCCCAUGAGGUGACUAAGUCACUGACGGGGCUAAGGCUCUCACAACCCAGUCAUUUCUCCUCUACACCCUCUUGCAUGGUCUCACACAUAAGCUUUUGGGGGAACACCUCACAUCCAAACCAUAAUACCUGCCAUUCCCCCAAAGGAGUGGAGCUGUUGCUUAUUGGCCAGUGGACUCAACUCACAAAUGGCCCUUAUCCUGUCCAGGGAGAUUUGUUUGGUCCCUACAAUUAACAUAUAUCCCAAAUAUUACACCCUCUUUUGGGAGAUCUGGACCUUCUUUUUAGGUACCUGGUAUCCUCUUUCUGCUAAGCAAUUGAGUGUAUGGUGUUUGCUUGGAGACCUCCUUGGUUGGACUACAUAUUAGCAGGUCAUCCACAUAAUCCAUCCCCACUUGAGCUUGAGAUCCCUCAAGUACUUUACUAGGGCCCAAGCAAAGACAUGAGGGCGGUCCCUAACCCCCCUGGGGAAGGACAGGGUGUUCCCGUUCAAAAAACAGAGAUACUGGGAUGACAGAGGCAGAGGGAUUGGAAAUGCACCCUUGAGACCCAGCACCGUAAACCAAGUAGGGUCUCUGGUAUUUGAAGAGCAAGGUACAAGGGUCUGCACCUACAGGGUGUACCGGGACCGGUCUCAGGUCUUGUACUGGCCAGUAUUCCCUGCCAGGUUGUAGAACAGGCAAAUUGACUUAUUAUAGGGGAGACUGGCAAGAUUUAAGAAGUCCAUAUUAACUAGCUCAUCUAUAGUAGGUCAUAAUCCCUUUUUGCUUCUUCUUUUAAAGGAUAUUGCUUCUAUUUGGGUAAUGCUCAGGAUCCUUCUGGAUCAUAUGUGCUAGGUGAGUAUAAACAGCUUUCUCUGGCCUUGGAGCAAACCAAGCUGCAAGGAUAUACUUGAGAAUCAAUCUACAGGAUCACAAAUGGCCACCAGGAGUGUUUGGGGGUUGUACCCUCUGUGAAGCAAUGCCCUCAGUUUUGCCAUUAUUUCUUGUCCUAGUAGUGGGAGAGGAGAGCAGGGUAUUAUUAGAAAUACAUGAGUGAAAAGCAAAUCAUCAAACUGGCAAGGUAUGGGAAAGGUAAAGUGUCCUUUUUUGUUUCUCCCUUCAAGGCCUACCACAAAAGCGGACCUAGAAGAAGGCUUCCCCCAAAAGCAGUUAGAGCAGAGCAAGUAGCUCCCGUUUCAACCAGGAAUUAGAUUUUUUUUCACCCAUAAUAUCCAAGGUUCCCCGAGGCUCCUCAGGAGAGGUGGUGAUGUCACAGGGGGCUUCCGGGCACCUGGGGCAUCCUCAGUCAGUCUCGACUGACAGCCCCUCUUUUAGAACAGGGGCAGUCAAUUCCCCAGCACCAGGGUCCUCUGGCAAAUGGUCCCUUCCCACGUGAAGGGAUCUGACGGUGGCCUUGGGCAGGCUCUUGCCCAGUGCCUGGUGUUUUUGCACUGGAAGCAGGAAGUCUUCUCUUGAGGUCCUCUUACAUUUCCUCGGGAUGAUUUACGGGUCUCAAGGGCAUUGCCAAUUUUGGUCUGUCUUUACUCCGAUCCUUUCUACUUUCCUCCACAUCCCCGUGUUGAAGACCAUGAAGGCAGAGUCUAGUCCUGGUUUUGCUUGGUGGAGGCCCCCUCUGGGGUUUCUGUCAUUUUCUCCUGCUGUCUGGGGCUGACUGGCUAAUGAGAUGUCUUCCCCAUGGGCGAGGCCCGCUCUAGAGGAGGGCUGUACUGGUACACACGCAGAAGGCCUCUUCUAGCCGUCAUGGAAUGCUUCACGUUUCCAUCUUUUCCUUUUGGUAAAGGGCCAUGAAGGUUUGGACAUAGGGAACUUUUAAUUUGUCACCAUUUAUUGGGUUUUGUAUGCCCUUUUUCAUCCCUGCCAAGAGCGCGCCUGUCUUCUGGGCUCUCCUUGUCAUUCCUGCAGGGUGUUAUGAUCCCCAGGGGGUUCUCUGUUGGGACUGCCUCUGUCUGGGGUGGUUCUCCUCUGGAGUUCAGGCAAAGAGCUCAGCUUCCCUGCCGCUGCCUCAGGGACUCUCUCCCUCUCCCGUGGGCGCAGCCUACUGUCAAGAUGCACUGCGUCUCCAGCACAAACCACAAGCCCUGGCCAGGGUCUGGAACCAUCAGCAAGCCCGCCUGGGUCUGCUGGGCGCCUUCCCCGUCUUCCCUUGUGCUGAUGGAUGGCCCUCACAUCCAGGGGCCUUGCCCCCUCACCAUGUCCUCUGCCCCAGCCACCUCCCUGAGGUAACAUGAGGGACCAGGAUGAGUCCCACUUCUGGGGUGCUGAUGGCUCAGAAGCUUUGGGGAAGGAGGCGGUCCAUGGUUCCUCCCUGGACGGGUCAUAUGGAGGAGUUGCCAUAGCGGGCAGCUUAACAAUGGGUCCAGGAUAUGGGGAUUUGGGGCAGUUUUCUUAGGGUUCCUUGUGGGAUCUUGUCAUCACGUAAGAGUGGGAUUUGGUAAAGGGCCAUGAAGGUCUGGACAUAGGGGACUUUUAACCACUUGCUUUAUCUCCUGUUGCAGGAUGGUAUUACAGUUGGGCUUCCGCUCAGGGGCCACCUCCUCAGAUCCCCUAGCUGUACUGGGGCCAAGCAUUAUUACAGUGAAGAGAAGUUGUUUUAUCAGAUCGUCAGGGUUCAUCCAGGUGGCAAGGGCUGUGGAAUGGAGGUGGGCCCUCCCACGUCGGCUAUUCUGGAAGAGAGGAGAGUUUUUAGGUCCUGUAACUAGGCCUCUCAAUCCCACCCAAGGCAACUCUCUUCGGAAUUAGGGACCUUGGGUUUUGGUGUUUCCCACUUGUUCCCAUAGAAAUCCCGCAAAAAACUUGUAAUCAGAUGAGAGUCUCUGGCCUUGUGUUAGGUGCUCACACAUUUCCUUUGAGUCCCUAUGACCAGGACCAUGAGCUUCCUGUCUAACAAUUUUGGGACACAAUUUCUUCUUUCCCUUUUGAGUAAAGACGCCCUCUGCUCUGACCCUGUGACUCCCUGAGGUCGUCUUCUGCUCCUAGCAUCUUGGUAACUUUUCUUUCCCUGUUUAAAAAUCAUCAUUCUCUUACCAGCAGAGUUUAGUCUCCCUGCUCUUAGGACCAAGGAACCCACACAGUCCUAUGUGCGCAGUGUCACUGAAUGGCGUCCCAGUUGUUCCUCUCCUGCCUGUUGUGGUCUUAUUAAGCCCAGAGAAAGGUGUGGGGGGCACAGAUUUUCUUGCCUGUGUUCUUUCAAUGAAGAUCAACCACAAGUGAUUGAUCUGUAACACCCACAAUCAGUAGCCCCAUCCCUCAUUGGUAAUUUCAGAUCAACAUUUAAAGAAAAGGUAACAGGUGUUUUGAGGACAUGACGCCCACGCAGGAAGACGCGCUUGCCAGAAGGAGCAGGAGUGCAUAGGAGGCGGGAGAAGGCUGGGGAGGGAGUGGAGGCGACCGGCACCCCAGCGCCAAGCCAGGCUCUGACGCAGCAAGUCCUUUGGGAGGAGUGCAGGGCUGGAGUAGUUGGAUGACUGCACGGCGUGCCUGCGUUGGUGAGCUUUGUCUUGUGUCUGGCACAGACUGUCUAACUACUGCUCACUUCUGGGUCAGGAUUGUCACGGGAGUCUUCAAGCAGGGCUCCCUGGUGGCUUCAAAUUGCCUGAAUGUGCGUCUGAGAGUGUGGCAAAGAACCAGGAGCUCUGACAGUACAUUAUGAGCAAGGAAAGUGGUUGAGAAGUGAAGGGAGGGCACCCAGGCUCAUGGAGGAGAUUAAAAAAAAAAACAAUGAAACCAAACCCCCAGCAAGCCAGGUCAAGCACACAGCAGGAGGCUGGGCCGCCCCUGAGUCCAGGGGACUCCCAGGGCCUCCAUCCUUCCGGGCUACAGAGCUCUCAACCUUCUGAUCGCCCUGGGAACUGCAGUCCUCAGUCUGCACGUGGUGCUGUGGGAGAGCCUGAUAGAAAGGAGCGUGGAUUUAGGUGGGUACAACAGGGGGUGUCCCUGAAGAGGGGCUUACCUCCUGGGUGGCUUGCCAAGGUGUUCUUGUGGGGGCACCAGUUAGAGUCCAGAUCCUUGGUGUUCCAAACAAAGAACUGAGCAAGACACACCAAGGAACAGGCAAAGUGCAGAUUUAUUGAAAGUGAGGGUGAUGUAGCACCACACAAGGUGAAGCAAAGUGGGUCGAGUGGAAGAGAGCUCAAGGCCCCAUGUCUGGAAAUCUGUGUCAUGUAUGCCGAGAUGUGGGCUUUUCUCCCCGUGUGGACCCGACUGAAGACCUUACCCCACUUCCUCCCAUUGGUGACCUGUUAGAAAUACCAAGGUGCUGCAGAAACCUGGCUAGCAAGUGCCCGGGCGGGCGGCAGCCUGCUUCCAGCCCCAGUGCAGCCUGCCUUUCACUCUGGUUGGAGGAGCUGGGGGUACAGUCCAUGCAAUCAGCUAAGUUUCAAAUUGGGGCAGGCAAACGGGAAGGGCCAUAAAUGAAAUGCCUAUGACUGGAUCCAAUUAGGACUGUAUUUUGAAAACGGACCACCACAUAUUACCUUAGGACACCUGGUUAGAAUAGUGUCCAGCUCCCCCCACUGGUUACCUGAUUAGAAUGCCGCCCACUCCACCCCCACUGGUCAUGUUAAAAUGUUGACCCUCUGAGGAAGUUGCCAUGGUGAUAAGUCCUCCCUGGCUGAGAGGCCAUGGUACCGGGCUCCUGUCUUGCCCUCCAGCAGCAUCUUCCUUACAUCCUGUCCCUGCAUCUUGGUGUCCCUGAACUCCUACCUAACAGACACAGUUGUCAUGGACCUGCCUGGUGUUGGAGGGAAGCCACCUGAGCCUUUGUCUCCGAGUGUGGGUUCUCGUUGCUGGACUGGGCUGUCCUGGCUGUGGUCCUGCCUGGGGAACAGCCUGUCCUCUCCCUUUGUCCUUCCGUCAUGGCUCUCACUGCUUUCUCUCUGUUUGCUCCUUUCCUGCCAGUUUGGAGGUGGAAGUAGCCUCUGGCUGGCUGGUGCUCUCUUCCUGCUGCUGGCCAUGUGUCCCGGGGGGCAAAGGUGCGACUUAUGUAGACGAGGGGAGAAAUAAAGAAUGUCCACGUGCUUCUGCCUUAGUCCAAUCACUUAAUACAAUUCACUCUAUAGGUUCUUAAUCAAGAAAUGGCGGGGCUGGGGAUGUGGCUCAAGCGGUAGCGCGCUCGCCUGGCAUGCGUGCGGCCCGGGUUCGAUCCUCAGCACCACAUACCAACAAAGAUGUUGUGUCCGCCGAAAACUAAAAAAUAAAUAUUAAAAUUCUUUAAAAAAAAAAAAAAGAAAUGGCAAUCUUAAUGCUGGGCUCUGCAGUAGACAUGAUCAGUGCCAAGCAGACAGCCCUACGUCAACUCUAAGCCCUGCAGACACACCUCAUCAUGACAGGCUCAUGACAGCCAAGCCCAGUGCCAGGUCUGGAGUCUCCAGUCUCAGGCCUUCAGUCCAGCAGAUGCGCAGUCACCCAGACCGCAGUGAUCAGGUCAGGACCCAGUGGAGUCUGCUCCUGGAGUGGAGCUGACGGCUGGCUAAGGAGAUGGUUGUAAGGAGACGACGAUGUUCUCACCAGGGUCAGGAGGCUGCGGUAGAGGACAACACAGAGGACCAGGCAGAUGAGAAGAGCUGGGACGUCAGCCCAGGUCCUC
rnacentral:lncRNA from 1 species